CAAGCUGGCAGCUCAAGGGGAGUGUCUUUUCUGCUGCAGCUAAGGGGGCGAGUGUCCAUGCUCUCCCUAUCACAGCUCAGGAGGCAGUUGAAAGAUUUAACUGAGCAUGUGCGGCCAUCUUAAUGAGCUGGUCAAAGAAUAAG